rnacentral:rRNA from 1 species
GAUGAACGCUGGCGGCGUGCCUAACACAUGCAAGUCGAACGGAGCUGCUGUGAUGAAGUUUUCGGAUGGAUUUAAAACAGCUUAGUGGCGGACGGGUGAGUAACGCGUGGGCUACCUGCCUCACACUGGGGGCUAACAGUUAGAAAUAGCUGCUACUACCGCAUAAGUGCACAGUUCCGCAUGGAACAGUGAGAGAAACUCCGGUGGUGUGAGAUGGACCCGCGUCGGAUUAGCCAGUUGGCGGGGUAACGGCUCACCAAAGCGAGGAUAAGUAGCCGGCCUGAGAGGGUGAGCGGCGACAUUGGGACUGAGACACGGCCCAAACUCCUACGGGAGGCAGCAGUGGGGAAUAUUGCACAAUGGGGGAAACCCUGAUGCAGCGACGCCGCGUGAGUGAAGAAGUAUUUCGGUAUGUAAAGCUCUAUCAGCAGGGAAGAAAGUGACGGUACCUGAAUAAGAAGCCCCGGCUAACUACGUGCCAGCAGCCGCGGUAAUAC